ensembl:lncRNA
AUAAACUUGUUUUUUUGUUUGUUUGUUGUUUGCAGAAUUUAUUAAUCUGUUAAUUUUAUAAAAAUUCUAUUACUUAUGUUUAUGCAUUAUACAUUAAUGUUUAUUUAUACAUCUUGAAAUGUUGCAAAUGUAUUAGAAUAUGUAGAAAUAACAUGAACUUAGAUUAAUAAAUUCUGUAAAAGUAUUGUUCAUGGUUAGUUGGUGACAUCUAAAGCACUAAUUAACAUUAACAAACUGAAUUUUACUGUAAAGUGUUACCUAUUGUUUAAUCGUUUCUUUUUUUUUAAAUUAGUUUUUCAAAGAAGACACUGGUGCCUAUGAAAGAAGCCACAAGUACAACAGGUGACAGAAACCCUUUUACAAAGCACUUUUCCCGUUUUCCCAGAGAGUUUUGUUGCCAGUCCUAUUAACCGAAUACAAUGCCCUGAACCUGAACACCUGCAAAAAUUAUGUUUUAUUUGCUGAAUCAGUUUCAGCUCCCGUUGUUUUGCUGACUUUACAAAAGAUACAUAUAUUUACAUAAGUUGUGUCACAGAUUUGCUUUCAGCUCUCCAGAAAUGAUUUACCAAAAUGUUCUUCUCACAUGGCAGUGAAGGUACAACAGGACACUGGUCCUGUUUGGCAGCAUGUGUACAGUGUUUUUCACUCCGACUCUUCUAGUUUGUCUCAUAGGGCAGAAGGUGGACGGUGCACUCGAUAGCUUUUGGUCAUCACGUGCUCCCCCCUCCUUACUGAAAAAAUGUCUGCGCCUGAUAUGGGUUAUUGUACGGUACAAUUCUCUGAAAUACUUCAAGAGAAGGUCCUGAGAUAGUGUUUUUUUUUCCUGAAAGAGGCUUUAGCUCUUCUCAGACUGUAUUUGUCAUGCUUUUUAUGAUCUUGUUUUGGG